rnacentral:rRNA from 1 species
AGCGAACGCUGGCGGCAGGCCUAACACAUGCAAGUCGAACGAACUCUUCGGAGUUAGUGGCGGACGGGUGAGUAACACGUGGGAACGUGCCUUUAGGUUCGGGAUAACUCAGGGAAACUUGUGCUAAUACCGAAUGUGCCCUUCGGGGGAAAGAUUUAUCGCCUUUAGAGCGGCCCGCGUCUGAUUAGCUAGUUGGUGAGGUAACGGCUCACCAAGGCGACGAUCAGUAGCUGGUCUGAGAGGAUGACCAGCCACAUUGGGACUGACACACGGCCCAAACUCCUACGGGAGGCAGCAGUGGGGAAUCUUGCGCAAUGGGCGAAAGCCUGACGCAGCCAUGCCGCGUGGAUGAUGAAGGUCUUAGGAUUGUAAAAUCCCUUCACCGGUGAAGAUAAUGACUGUAGCCGGAGAAGAAGCCCCGGCUAACUUCGUGCCAGCAGCCGCCGUAACAC